AGAUUGAACGCUGGCGGCAUGCUUUACACAUGCAAGUCGAACGGCAGCGCGGGGCAACCUGGCGGCGAGUGGCGAACGGGUGAGUAAUAUAUCGGAACGUACCCAAGAGUGGGGGAGUAACGUAGCGAAAGUUACGCUAAUACCGCAUACGAUCUAAGGAUGAAAGCAGGGGACCGCAAGGCCUUGUGCUCCUGGAGCGGCCGAUAUCUGAUUAGCUAGUUGGUAGGGUAAAGGCCUACCAAGGCUACGAUCAGUAGCUGGUCUGAGAGGACGGACCAGCCACACUGGAACUGAGACACGGUCCAGACUCCUACGGGAGGCAGCAGUGGGGAAUUU
rnacentral:rRNA from 1 species